AAUAGCCUCCAAGAGCAGUGGAAUCAAAUUGCUGGCACUGAGCCCCAGAGAUAAAGUUGGAGGUUAAAAAAAAAAGGUCUUUUUUUUUGUUUGUUUGUUUGUUUGCUUGUGACUAAUAUGGUUCUCAAAAUUGUAAGAUUAUGGGGUAUACAUCACCAAAUUAUAAUUUUGCAACCAAUGCUAUAGCUGGUGUGCUCAGUGCCCACACGAUUCUUGUCAAGCUUCUUUCUUUCUUUCUUUCUUUCUUUCUUUCUUUCUUUCUUUCUUAAUUUCAUUUUUUGAGGAGAGACACCACAACACCUUUCCUCUGCUCACGUAGUUUCCCCUGUGCUUGCUGACCCACUAGUCUGACCUGGGGCUAGAACCCUGGUUAAAACAUACACUCUACCAAGUGAGCCGUUUGGUGGAGUUCUAUAGUUCUCGUUAUUGUUGUCAGUAUUGUUUAAUCUUUUAUUUAUUUACUUACUAAUGAGAGAGAUGAAGUAGGGAGAGGGAGAACCAGAGCACCACUGUGGAAUAUGUGCUGCUGGGGAGUGAAGCCCAGAUCUCAUGCUGCAGAGUCCAGUGCUUCAUCCUCUGUACCAGCUGCCUUGGGAGGUUGUUGGUCUGUUUUAUUUUUGCUCACCAGGGCUCGGCUUGGCUCGGCUCUGGCUUAUGGUGGUUCUGGGCAUUGAAUUUGGUCCCUUUAGUAGCUCUGGUGUGGAAGUUUAUUUGCAUAACCAUUAUGCUGUUUCUCCAGCCUGUACCUUGACUGAGUCUUGACUGGAUCCUGGAUCCAGCUGGAUAUGAACCUUACUCCAGUGUACAAGCUGUUUUAGCUCAGGAUCUCAAAUGCACUCAGAAUGUCAGGCACACAUUCUGCUGGCCCUUGGGUGUGCCAAUCAUGACAUUCUGAACAAGUCAUAGAGACUGGAUUUUCAAGCAUAAUGCUUAUGCAAAGAGACUCUCAUGCCUGAGGCACCCAAGUCCCAGGUUCAAUCCCCCGCACCACCCUAAACCUGAGCUGAGCAGUGCUCUGCUAAAAAGAAAAGAAAAGAAAAGAAGAGUUAGUUUAGAUAGCUUAGCUAAGAUUGUCCUGCGUUCCACAUGAAUAAAGAGAUACUGCUUCCCAGCUCAAAAAAAAAAAAAAAAAGAAAAAAGAAAAGAAAAGAAAAAAACUUUAAGAAAUUAUUUAAAAAAGAAAGAAAGAAAGAAAGAAAUCAAGAAGGAAGGAGGAGAUAGAGAGGGAGAGAGACAGAGACACUUGCUGGCCUGCUUCACCACUCGCAAAGCUUUCCUCCUGUAGAUGGGUACUGGGGGCUCGAACCUGGGUCCUUGUGCACUGUAACGUGUGUGCUCAACUAGAUGUAUCACCAGCCGGCCCUGUAUUUUACUGCUUAUGAAACUUUCCCCUGCAGGUGUGGGCCAAGGGCUUGAACCCAGGUCUUUGUGCAUUCUAAUACGUGCACUUAACCUAGUAUACCACUGCUCAGCCCUAGCAUUAUUUCUAUUUUCUGUACUACAGCACUACUCAGCACUAGCUUAUGAUGGUUUUAGGGAUGGAAUGUGAGACCUCAGAGCCUCAGGCAUGCAAGUCCUUUGCACAACCACUAUGCUGUCUUUCCACCACUUAACUUUUCCAUCUUCCCCUCUUUCUCUCCUCUCUCUCCCUCUUCCUCUUUCUAUUUUUCUUUUAUAUUGUUUAUAUGUAUGUAUUUAUUUUCCAUUUUUGUUGCCCUUGUUGUUUUUAUUGUUGUUGUAGUUAUUAUUGUUGUUGUUAUUGAUGUCAUAGUUGUUAGAUAGGACAGAGAGAAAUGGAGAGAAGAAAGGAAGAUAGAGACGGGGAGAGAAAGAUAGACACGUGCAGACUUGCUUCACUGCCCGUGAAGGGAGCGACUCCCCUAGAGGUAGGGAGCCAGGUGCUCAAACUGGGAUCCUUAAGCCAGUCCCUGCGCUUUGCACCACCUGUGCUACUUAACCCUCUGUGCUACCACCCAACUCCCUGUUUCUUUUAUCUUUUAUCUUUUAUUUAUAUAUUUAUUAUUAGAUAGUGAGAGAGAGAGAGAGAGAAAUUGAGAGGGAGGAGGAGAUAGCGAAAGAAAGAGACAGAGAUAACACCUGCAGCCCUGCUUCACCACUCAUGAAGCUUUUUCCCCCUGCAGGUGGGGACCAGGGUCUUGAACCUGAGUCCCUCCCUGCACACUGUAAUGUGUGUGCUUAGCCAGGUACUCAACCGCUUGGCCCCUUGUUUGUUUGUUUGUUUGUUUUUUAUUUCCUUUUCUUUUUUCCCUGCCACCAGAGGAAUCCCUGGAGCUCAGUGCAGGACUACUAACUCCCCACUCCUUGUGGCCAUUUUGGAGCCCUGCAGGUAGGGGAGCUGGGGAUUGAACCCAAGUCCUUGCGUGUGCAUGAUAAUGUGUGCACUUAGUCUGAUGUGCUCUCCUCCUCCUCCUCCUCCUCCUCCUCCUCCUCCUCCUCCUCCUCCUGCAUAAUUAGGGCAAGACAUGGACAUUACAAAAUUACCUGAGGCUCAGAGUUUUUGUUACUUGGACCACUUGUGUUGUUGGCUCUGGCACUGACAGGGAAGUCAUAGAUAAGACACCUGAGGAAGUACUAAGUAUUAUGGGAUAGCUAGAAAGCAGAGCUUGGAAAAGAAGAGGGCAGAGACUCAGAAAGUUUCACCAGGAGGGCAGGACCAGUCAUUUAACAGACCAGUGAGAAAGCCAUUCCAGACUGGAAUAAAAGAGCCAGACUUUGGGGUUGAGAGCACACACUACCAUGUGCAAGGGUUCAAGCACUUGCUCCCCACCUGCAGUGGAGAAGGCUUCUCCAGCCUGAAGCAGGUGUGCUGGUGUCUUUCUCUCUCUCCUUCUCUAGCUCCCCGUUCCUUCUUAAAUGAAGUAGAAAGAAAAGGAAGGAAGGAAGGAAGGAAGGAAGGAAGAAAGAAAGAAAGAAAGAAGGAAAGGAAAAGAAGUGGGAGUCGAGCCGUAGUAGCACAGAGGGUUAAGCGCACAUGGCACAAGGACCAGAAUAAGGAUCUCGGUUGGAGCCUCGGGCUCCCCACCUGCAGGGGAGUCAAUUCACAAGUGGUGAGGCAGGUCUGCAGGUGUCUAACUUUCUCUCCCCCUCUCUGUCUUCCACUCCUCUCUCCAUAUCUCUCUGUCCUAUGUAACAAUGACGACGACAUCAACAACAAGAAGAACAACAAUAAUAACCACUACAACAAUGAAAAGACAACAAGGGCAACAAAAGGAAAAAUAUUUUUUAAAAAGAAAUAACAUAAAAAAGAAUGAAAUACAUAAAGAAAGAAGUAAAGAAAGAAAGAAAAAGAAAGAAAGAAAGGGGGGAUGGGUAGAUAGCAUAAUGGCUAUGCAAACAGACUGUCAAGCCUGAGCCCAGAUUCAGUUCCCUGCACCACCAUAAACCAGUGCUUUGGUAAAAAAAAAAAAAAAAAAAAAAACAAACAAAAAAAAGUAUAUAUAUAUAUAUAUAUAUAUAUAUGUAUAUAUAGAAAAGAAAGGAAGGAAGGCAGAAAGAAUAGACAAAAAGUGUCCUCCAGGAGCAGUGGAUUCCUAGUGCCAGCAUAGAACCCCAGAGAUAACCACCACGGUGGCAAUAAAAAAAGAAAAAAAUUGAGGGGUCGGGCGGUGGCGCAGUGGGUUAAGCGCAUGUGGCGCAAAGCGCAGGGACCGGCGUAAGGAUCCCGGUUCCAGCCCCCGGCUCCCCACCUGCAGGGGAGUCGCUUCACAGGCGGUGAAGCAGGUCUGCAGGUGUCUGUCUUUCUCUCCCCCUCUCUGUUUUCCCUUCCUCUCUCCAUUUCUCUCUGUCCUACCUAACAACGACGACAACAUCAACAACAAUAACUACAACAAUGAAAAGCAACAAGUGCAACAAAAAGGGAAAUAAAUAAAUGUUAAAAAUGAAAUAAAUAAAAUAUAUUUUUUUAAAUUGAAAAGAGGGCCCAGGUGGUGGCACACCUGGCUAAGUGCAUGCAUUACAGUGCACAAGGACCCGGGUUCAAGCCCCUGGUUCCCACACGCAGGGAGAAAGCUUCAAGAGUGGUGAAGCAGGGCUGCAGGUAUCUCUCUUUCUCUCUCCCUCUCUCCCUCCCCAUGCUCUCUUGAUUUCUGGCUGUUUCUAGCCUUUAAAUAAAGAAAGAUAAUUUUAAAAAGGAGAAAAAAGAAAAGAAAAAAAUCCAAACUUAUCAGCUAGUCAACAUUCUCCCUAGAUGACCCACACAUGUCUAUCUGCCUGCGAUGUCUUCGUUUUCCUAAUAAACUACGUGAUGCCUGGUUAUGGUCUCCCCAGUUGUUUGUGGGAACGGACCAUGAUGAUGAUCCAGACCCUCUGGGGGAGACACUUGGGUCUCAUGCCCAGAUAGUCAUAACUUUAUUUAAAUGAGAGGGGGUUAGAUGUGAAGCCAUACUGGCCCAAGGCAGCAAGCUACAGGCCAACCCCAAUCAAGGCGUCCCCCUUGGACCUCUAUUUUUUAAAUUUUACUUAUUUAUUAAAGAGAAAGCUAGAAGGAGAGAGAGAAAGAACGAGACAAAAUCAGAGAGGAAAGGGAGAAGACGAAGAGUAGCACUACUUUGUGCCACUUUCCCCCUAGGUGUGGGGCCCCGGUGGGUUGAGCCCAGAUCCUUACGGAUGGUGAGGUUGCUUGCUGUGGGUGUGCCACAGACCGGCCCCCGCCCGGUUAAGAGGAUCUGAAGCCAAACAAACAAACAAACAAACAAACAAACAAACCAUAACGAUAACGAUAACGAUAAUACGACAACUAAGAGGAGAAGGAUGGCAAGCCCUGGGACGCAAGGUGGUUGGGGAGGAGUCGGACGCGCAGCAGCCCCGCCUGCCUCCGCGGGAAAGGGCGGGGCGUGCAUUGGUAGAAAUAAGAAAUUGCCCCUCAGUCGGGAAUUGUCUAACUCAAGUUCACUUUCCCAGGUUUGUUAUGAAAGCAGGUCUGUGCAGACUUGUGAGGGCCUGGAGGAGUCUGUGGAGACACCGCGGCGCCGAGCCUUUCCCGGAGCGUUUGUUAUGAAAGCAGGUCUGUGCAGACUUGUGAGGGCCUGGAGGAGUCUGUGGAGACACCGCGGCGCCGAGCCUUUCCCGGAGCGUGAGUCGACUGACUCACCGUGAUCUGAAAGCGGGUGACCGGAGGAGGGCGGCAGCAGGGCGAGGGCGCGCAGCAUCGCUUCUCGGCCUUUUGGCUAAGAUCAAGUGUAGUAUCUGUUCUUAUCAGUUUAAUAUCUGAUACGUCCUCUAUCCGAGGACAUUAUAUUAAAUGGAUUUUUGGAGCAGGGAGUCGGAAUAGGGGCUUGCUCCGUCCGCUCCACGCAUCGACCUGGUAUUGCAGUACUUCCAGGAACGGUGCACCCCCACUGGGGAGAAAACUCAA